rnacentral:tmRNA from 1 species
GGGGCUGAUUCUGGAUUCGACGGGAUUUGCGAAACCCAAGGUGCAUGCCGAGGGGCGGUUGGCCUCGUAAAAAGCCGCAAAAAAUAGUCGCAAACGACGAAAACUACGCUUUAGCAGCUUAAUAACCUGCUUAGAGCCCUCUCUCCCUAGCCUCCGCUCUUAGGACGGGGAUCAAGAGAGGUCAAACCCAAAAGAGAUCGCGUGGAAGCCCUGCCUGGGGUUGAAGCGUUAAAACUUAAUCAGGCUAGUUUGUUAGUGGCGUGUCCGUCCGCAGCUGGCAAGCGAAUGUAAAGACUGACUAAGCAUGUAGUACCGAGGAUGUAGGAAUUUCGGACGCGGGUUCAACUCCCGCCUGCUCCACCA